rnacentral:rRNA from 1 species
AGAGUUUGAUCCUGGCUCAGAAUCAACGCUGGCGGCGUGCCUAACACAUGCAAGUCGAGCGAGAAAAGUGGUAGCAAUACCAUGAGUAAAGCGGCGCACGGGUGAGUAACACGUGACUAACCUACCCUGGAGUGGGGAAUAACUGAGGGAAACCUUAGCUAAUACCGCAUAAUACCCACGGGUCAAAGGAGCAAUUCGCUCUGGGAGGGGGUCGCGGCCGAUUAGUUAGUUGGCGGGGUAACGGCCCACCAAGACGAUGAUCGGUAUCCGGCCUGAGAGGGCGCACGGACACACUGGAACUGAAACACGGUCCAGACUCCUACGGGAGGCAGCAGUGGGGAAUUUUGCGCAAUGGGGGAAACCCUGACGCAGCAACGCCGCGUGGAGGAUGAAGUCCUUCGGGACGUAAACUCCUUUCGAUCGGGACGAUUAUGACGGUACCGGAAGAAGAAGCCCCGGCUAACUUCGUGCCAGCAGCCGCGGUAAUACGAGGGGGGCGAGCGUUGUUCGGAAUUAUUGGGCGUAAAGGGUGCGUAGGCGGUUUGGUAAGUCUUGUGUGAAAUCUCCAGGCUCAACUUGGAGUCUGCACGAGAAACUGCCGGGCUGGAGUGUGGGAGAGGUGAGUGGAAUUUCCGGUGUAGCGGUGAAAUGCGUAGAUAUCGGAAGGAACCCUGUGGCGAAAGCGGCUCACUGGACCAUAACUGACGCUGAUGCACGAAAGCUAGGGGAGCAAACAGGAUUAGAUACCCCAGUAGUCC